AGGCAGCAGUAGGGAAUCUUCCACAAUGGACGAAAGUCUGAUGGAGCAACGCCGCGUGAGUGAAGAAGGUUUUCGGAUCGUAAAGCUCUGUUGUUGGUGAAGAAGGAUAGAGGUAGUAACUGGCCUUUAUUUGACGGUAAUCAACCAGAAAGUCACGGCUAACUACGUGCC
rnacentral:rRNA from 1 species